UACGUAGGGUGCGAGCGUUGUCCGGAAUUAUUGGGCGUAAAGAGCUUGUAGGCGGUCUGUCGCGUCUGCUGUGAAAUCCCGAGGCUCAACCUCGGGUCUGCAUCCGAUACUGCCCGGCUAGAGGUAGGUAGGGGAGAUCGGAAUUCCUGGUGUAGCGGUGAAAUGCGCGGAUAUCAGGAGGAACACCGGUGGCGAAGGCGGAUCUCUGGGCCUUACCUGACGCUCAGGCGCGAAAGCUAGGGGAGCGAACUGG
rnacentral:rRNA from 1 species